GAUGGACGCUGGCGGCGUGCCUAAUACAUGCAAGUCGAGCGAACAGACGAGGAGCUUGCUCCUCUGACGUUAGCGGCGGACGGGUGAGUAACACGUGGAUAACCUACCUAUAAGACUGGGAUAACUUCGGGAAACCGGAGCUAAUACCGGAUAAUAUAUUGAACUGCAUGGUUCAAUAGUGAAAGACGGUUUUGCUGUCACUUAUAGAUGGAUCCGCGCCGCAUUAGCUAGUUGGUAAGGUAACGGCUUACCAAGGCAACGAUGCGUAGCCGACCUGAGAGGGUGAUCGGCCACACUGGAACUGAGACACGGUCCAGACUCCUACGGGAGGCAGCAGUAGGGAAUCUUCCGCAAUGGGCGAAAGCCUGACGGAGCAACGCCGCGUGAGUGAUGAAGGUCUUCGGAUCGUAAAACUCUGUUAUUAGGGAAGAACAAAUGUGUAAGUAACUAUGCACGUCUUGACGGUACCUAAUCAGAAAGCCACGGCUAACUACGUG
rnacentral:rRNA from 1 species